GGGGUGUGACUGCGUACCUUUUGUAUAAUGGGUCAGCGACUUAUAUUCUGUAGCAAGGUUAACCGUAUAGGGGAGCCGGAGGGAAACCGAGUCUUAACCGGGCGUUAAGUUGCAGGGUAUAGACCCGAAACCCGGUGAUCUAGCCAUGGGCAGGUUGAAGGUUGGGUAACACUAACUGGAGGACCGAACCGACUAAUGUUGAAAAAUUAGCGGAUGACCUGUGGCUGGGGGUGAAAGGCCAAUCAAACCGGGAGAUAGCUGGUUCUCCCCGAAAGCUAUUUAGGUAGCGCCUCGUGAAUUCAUCUCCGGGGGUAGAGCACUGUUUCGGCUAGGGGGCCAUCCCGGCUUACCAACCCGAUGCAAACUGCGAAUACCGGAGAAUGUUAUCACGGGAGACACACGGCGGGUGCUAACGUCCGUCGUGAAGAGGGAAACAACCCAGACCGCCAGCUAAGGUCCCAAAGUCAUGGUUAAGUGGGAAACGAUGUGGGAAGGCCCAGACAGCCAGGAUGUUGGCUUAGAAGCAGCCAUCAUUUAAAGAAAGCGUAAUAGCUCACUGGUCGAGUCGGCCUGCGCGGAAGAUGUAACGGGGCUAAACCAUG
rnacentral:rRNA from 1 species